rnacentral:rRNA from 1 species
UACGGAGGGGGCGAGCGUUAUUCGGAAUUAUUGGGCGUAAAGGGCGCAUAGGCGGCUGUACAAGUCAAAGGUGAAAUCCCUCGGCUCAACUGAGGAACUGCCUUUGAAACUGUACGGCUUGAGGCCGGGAGGGGGUAGCGGAAUUCCCAGUGUAGCGGUGAAAUGCGUAGAUACUGGGAGGAACACCAGUGGCGAAGGCGGCUACCUGGACCGGUUCUGACGCUGAGGCGCGAAAGCGUGGGUAGCAAACAGG